rnacentral:rRNA from 1 species
GGCUCAGGACGAACGCUGGCGGCGUGCUUAACACAUGCAAGUCGAACGAUGAACCACUUCGGUGGGGAUUAGUGGCGAACGGGUGAGUAACACGUGGGCAAUCUGCCCUUCACUCUGGGACAAGCCCUGGAAACGGGGUCUAAUACCGGAUAUCACUCUCGCAGGCAUCUGUGAGGGUCGAAAGCUCCGGCGGUGAAGGAUGAGCCCGCGGCCUAUCAGCUUGUUGGUGAGGUAACGGCUCACCAAGGCGACGACGGGUAGCCGGCCUGAGAGGGCGACCGGCCACACUGGGACUGAGACACGGCCCAGACUCCUACGGGAGGCAGCAGUGGGGAAUAUUGCACAAUGGGCGAAAGCCUGAUGCAGCGACGCCGCGUGAGGGAUGACGGCCUUCGGGUUGUAAACCUCUUUCAGCAG